AGAGUUUGAUCAUGGCUCAGGAUGAACGCUAGCUACAGGCUUAACACGCGCAAGUCGAGGGGCAGCAUGGUCUUAGCUUGCUAAGGCCGAUGGCGACCGGCGCACGGGUGAGUAACGCGUAUCCAACCUGCCUUACACUCUUGGACAGCCUUCUGAAAGGGAGAUUAAUACAAGAUGUUAUCAUGAGUAAGCAUUUUCGCAUUGAUUAAAGGUUUACCGGUGUAAGAUGGGGAUGCGUUCCAUUAGAUAGUAGGCGGGGUAACGGCCCACCUAGUCUUCGAUGGAUAGGGGUUCUGAGAGGAAGGUCCCCCACAUUGGAACUGAGACACGGUCCAAACUCCUACGGGAGGCAGCA
rnacentral:rRNA from 1 species